GACGUAGGGCGCGAGCGUUGUCCGGAUUUAUUGGGCGUAAAGAGCUCGUAGGCGGCUUGUUGCGUCAGCUGUGAAAACUGGAGGCUCAACCUCCAGCCUGCAGUGGGUACGGGCAGACUAGAGUGCGGUAGGGGAGAUUGGAAUUCCUGGUGUAGCGGUGGAAUGCGCAGAUAUCAGGAGGAACACCGAUGGCGAAGGCAGGUCUCUGGGCAUUAACUGACGCUGAGGAGCGAAAGCAUGGGGAGCAAACAGG
rnacentral:rRNA from 1 species